GACGAACGCUGGCGGCGUGCCUAAUACAUGCAAGUUGAGCGAUGAAGAUUGGUGCUUGCACCAAUUUGAAGAGCAGCGAACGGGUGAGUAACGCGUGGGGAAUCUGCCUUUGAGCGGGGGACAACAUUUGGAAACGAAUGCUAAUACCGCAUAACAACUUUAAACAUAAGUUUUAAGUUUGAAAGAUGCAAUUGCAUCACUCAAAGAUGAUCCCGCGUUGUAUUAGCUAGUUGGUGAGGUAAAGGCUCACCAAGGCGAUGAUACAUAGCCGACCUGAGAGGGUGAUCGGCCACAUUGGGACGGAGACACGGCCCAAACUCCUACGGGAGGCAGCAGUAGGGAAUCUUCGGCAAUGGACGAAAGUCUGACCGAGCAACGCCGCGUGAGUGAAGAAGGUUUUCGGAUCGUAAAACUCGGUUGGUAGAGAAGAACGUUGGUGAGAGUGGAAAGCUCAUCAAGUGACGGUAACUACCCAGAAAGGGACGGCUAACUACGUG
rnacentral:rRNA from 1 species